UAUUGGAAGCAUAAUAAGUACGAACGCCGUGUAAAUCUGUUGGCUUAUCAACUUGAAAUAAUUAGCACUGGUCAAUGUAGCCUUGCUUCCGUUACCAUGACUCCAAACCCCACAUGCAAUACCUUGAAUAAAUUACUAUUUCACAACGUUUGAUAUUUUUCGGCAAUAAGACAAAACAUAUUGCUUAAUAACAACACCCUACAUUCAAUGUCAUUUUUCAAACAUAAACCUUAGUUUUUAGUCCGAAGAAAUGUUCGAAAACAUCAAGUAUAGAACGCUAGGCUAUAACCGUGUAAUGAGAAUAGUGUAACUGGCGCGAUCGGACCUUGUGACCUCUAGAUUAUUAACCUGAUUUCCUGGCAUCAAAGUGGGUUUUUUUACGUUGUAGCUGAACAUUUUGUGGAUUUAUAGAAAACAGUAUAAAUAUGAACAGCGUAGCUUUGCUUUGUCUGGCGGUGCUGUGUCUGUUUGUAACGGUUGCUAUUGCUGGAGAGCACGACGUUCCUUCUGCAGAAGAUAGUCAAUGGGGCGAAGCCACUGCCGAAGGCGGUUACGAUAGUUACAACACUGCCAAAAGAGUUGAUAGUUACGAUAACAGUUGGAAAGAUCAGAUAAUGAUGGCUUCUGCCGGCAGUCACAACAGUGUUUAUAUGACAAUGUUUUUAGCGUUUGUCGUCAUGGUGAUUGCCCUUCGUUGGUGAGAUGAUAAGUUUUUAUGCUGUCAUCCAGUCUUCAGAAUACUAAAAAUUACAUUGCUCACAGACAUGAAUAGACUAUUAUUCGUAUUGUUAAGUAGUAGCCAGUUAUUUUUUGGCAGAGCAUAUUGACAUUUGACUGAUCGAAGUACGAGAUAUCUAAGAAAGUCUCCUAUUGCAUAUAUUGUAGAGAUUCCUCCCUGUCUGGAUCAAUAUUUAUAUUUUUUUUCGAUGUAGUUUACAUUAUAUUGCACAACUGCACUAUUUUAGUUAAACGCAAUAUCGUAAUUUCAUAACAGAGAAAAACUAUUCAUUUUCGUACAUUAAUUUCCAUUGACUAGUUUGACCAUACUUUGUUUUCAGUUUCUGUGUAAUAUUGUAGCUUCAUGUAGAUGUUUUCAACCGUUUAACAUCACAUGGUAUUUUGUAAAAUGUUGGGCCAAUUCUGACCAAUGGACCAUUUUUAUAGCUCAAAUAAUAACACAAGAAUGGACGUUCCAAUCAAGAUAUGAUAAAAUCGUGUGGUUCCUUUGUCAGUUCAAUUAUUCACGUUGGGUAAAAAUGUGUGUUUAUUGUAUUUGCAAAACACAUUGUAAUUUGUCAUAAAAGUUUAAUAUUGCUAGGUUUGGGAAUUGGGUAUUGCCUUAAUAUUAUUAAAUACAUUCUCUACUAUUUGUAAAUCACAUACUGUAUAUAUGUUUUCUGUCAUUCUGGGUCGAAAUUAAAGUAAAAGUU